AGUAACACGUGAGAAAUCUGCCCCUGACUCUGGGAUAACUGCGGGAAACUGUAGCUAAUACCGGAUACUUUCCCUGGUGGGCAUCCACUGGGGAAGAAAGAAUUUCGGUCAGGGAGGAUCUCGCGGCCUAUCAGCUAGUUGGUGAGGUAACGGCUCACCAAGGCGACGACGGGUAACCGGCCUGAGAGGGUGACCGGUCACACUGGGACUGAGACACGGCCCAGACUCC
rnacentral:rRNA from 1 species